GACGAACGCUGGCGGCGUGCUUAACACAUGCAAGUCGAACGGAAAGGCCCUGCUUUUGUGGGGUGCUCGAGUGGCGAACGGGUGAGUAACACGUGAGUAACCUGCCCUUGACUUUGGGAUAACUUCAGGAAACUGGGGCUAAUACCGGAUAGGAGCUCCUGCUGCAUGGUGGGGGUUGGAAAGUUUCGGCGGUUGGGGCUGGACUCGCGGCUUAUCAGCUUGUUGGUGGGGUAGUGGCUUACCAAGGCUUUGACGGGUAGCCGGCCUGAGAGGGUGACCGGCGACAUUGGGACUGAGAUACGGCCCAGACUCCUACGGGAGGCAGCAGUGGGGAAUAUUGCACAAUGGGCGGAAGCCUGAUGCAGCAACGCCGCGUGCGGGAUGACGGCCUUCGGGUUGUAAACCGCUUUCGCCUGUGACGAAGCGUGAGUGACGGUAAUGGGUAAAGAAGCACCGGCUAACUACGUG
rnacentral:rRNA from 1 species